GACGAACGCUGGCGGCGUGCUUAACACAUGCAAGUCGAACGGUAAGGCCCUUCGGGGUACACGAGUGGCGAACGGGUGAGUAACACGUGGGUGAUCUGCCCUGCACUUCGGGAUAAGCCUGGGAAACUGGGUCUAAUACCGGAUAGGACUCCGGACUGCAUGGUCUGGGGUGGAAAGCUUUUGCGGUGUGGGAUGGGCCCGCGGCCUAUCAGCUUGUUGGUGGGGUGAUGGCCUACCAAGGCGACGAAGGGUAGCCGGCCUGAGAGGGUGACCGGCCACACUGGGACUGAGAUACGGCCAGACUCCUACGGGAGGCAGCAGUGGGGAAUAUUGCACAAUGGGCGCAAGCCUGAUGCAGCGACGCCGCGUGAGGGAUGACGGCCUUCGGGUUGUAAACCUCUUUUAGUAGGGAAGAAGCGAAAGUGACGGUACCUGCAGAAAAAGCACCGGCUAACUACGUGCCAGCCGCCGCGGUAA
rnacentral:rRNA from 1 species